CGCUGGCCCCGCCCCCCGCGCCGCAAGCCUCACGCCCGGCGUGGUCGCUGUGGUUAGCGCGCAGCCGUUGCCGCAGUCAUUGGUCAAUGACUUAGUUAUAUUCGAGCGGCAGUUGUCUGCGUCGGAAGCUCUGCAGAGAGGCCUCGUCAGCCGCGUACUGUGGCCCACCGGGGUCAUGGACCAGUUACAAUCCAUCGUCAGUGAAAUCGCCAAUCAACCGGUACAAACUCUCCUGUUGAAAAAGAAAUUGCUGAAGUUAAGGACAAAUUCAGACAAUACAUUCCUGGCUCAAUUGGAGGCUGAGCGAGCUCUCUUCGUCGAGUAUUGGAGCUCGAAGGAAGGUCUGGAGACUCUUGGGCAUAGAGAAACAGAUCCUCUAAAAGGGGUAUAACUUUUCUGACAAUAGUGCUCAUUGAGAAACAUAAACACUUCUAAAGUAAAAUUGUCAUCUAAUGCAACCACAACACAGAGUUUUAAUUAAAAAAACGUUAUAAAUGUAUGGACAGAAGUUGAUGUGUGUUUAAAAUAUAUCAAAAGUUUUCUGGAGUAGGAUAGAUGUGUAAAUGUUUCAGAUUCAAGUCUAUUGAAGAGUUUGUGUGUUACGAUAUGAUAAGUUAGAUAUUGAUGAUUGAAAUAGUUGGAGGUUGUUCAUUAUUUGAUUUAUAAUACACAGAUAAUAUGUUAGUGUGGACUGUUUUAUUAGGGCAAUCUAAGAAUUGGGUUCAACAUAGUUGCUUGAUUAAUAUGUGUGCAUAUUGAUGUUUUAAUUGGUUGUAAAUUUUACUUUAUCCAAUGAUCAUUUCCUGAUCCUGAUUGAAAUCUUUAAUUCAAUUAAAUCUAUUAUUUUAUCAAAAUUAGCCUAUGUUGAACCUAUUAGCCUGGCGUCCAUUACUUCGCUCUAUAUAAGUAGCACAUUUUACUUCGGUUUGGAUGCAUAGUUAAUAAAUUCUAACGAAUUAAUUCGUUUAGACGGCGUAAUGGACGGCAAGUCUUUUAAUUUAGUCGUAAAUGUUACGUUAUAGAUGAAAUUGUUUAUGUAUUUGUUUUAGAUGUUGAGUUUAUAAUUUAGAGCACAUAUGGUGUAUAUCCAGCCAAAGUUCUACACAAUCACUAGAUGCAUCAUAAUAUGAAGUGGCUAAUACGAGAAUAUUCAGUUUACAAAUUAAUAUUAAGAGGUAUUCAUUCCUUUGACCCUAAAUUGACUGUUUUACGUUAAACUUCUUAUUCGUCAGUUUAUUUAGACUUAUUUAGUUUAUUAACAUCUUUGUAAGUUACUUAGUUAUAAGUAUAGAAAUAAUUUAUUUACUUUUCUUUAUUAAUUAAAAAUAAAGUGCCUUUCAUCAUAAUAUUAUAAUUUCAAUCAUACACAUUUAAACAAAUAAACUUAUAUACUAUAAAAA